rnacentral:lncRNA from 1 species
UCCACACCCCUGCCCCGCCUCCUCCCGGUAGGAAACUCCGGGACCCUGCAAGGGAUGACUCACCCCAGUGAUUCAACCGCGCCACCGAGCGCGGAGCUGCCCUGGAGGACGCAGGCGGGUCUAGUUGCCCGGGUCCCCCAAGGCCCCCGGAUUCACCCAGGCCCGCGACUCCGACGUGCAGCUUAGGUCAAGAAUACCUGGCCUGCCCACCUCGCGGGGCCCUUAGCGGGUCGCACAGGAGAAAGGCGGUGGGAAUGCCGGUGUCAGCCACGGUGUGACCGGCUCGGCUCACAGGUCUGAGGGUCAGUUGGCUCAGGCAUCGCCCGGUACGACCAGAGAUAGUGACUGAGGAAGAGCAGCCUCACAUCUGGCAGUUUGCCUCUGGGAGAAUUCCAGCGUGACAUCUGCAGCUCUGUGGUUCCAGAAAGGAUGGUUCCCACAUUGAAGAAGACAUCUGUGGGACUGAGUUCCACCGAAAUGCAGAGGAACCAAAAAUGAAAAUGAAAAAUGUAACCAGAGUUGUGUGCCACUAGUUUUAAGCUUUGGUUUUUCUAAAUUAUUUUCUGGCUUCUCCUUCUGGGCUUUGCUGUAAACUUGCCAAGCAUGAGAACAACUCUUCAUCUAUUGAGUGGCAUUUUAAGCCAUCCUGUCAAAGUAUCUCCUGUCAUUUUUAUUAUUAUUACUCUAUAUUGCCUGCAAGACACGACUGGAGAAUUCUUAGUGUAAGAAUUGUUUGUUUCCUCUCUCCUUCUUUCCCACGUUUUCCCAGGGAAGUCAGUCUUGCAUUUUAAUGCAUACUAUAUACAUAUCUCGUUUAGCUUACUGAACCACUUGUUUUAACAGAAUAAAACUGUGGCUCUAGCCUGAGUCAUUUUCCCUAAGAGAUCUUCAGCUCCACCUGGGAUGUGAUUCUUUGCUCUCUGGGAUUGAAGGUAGCUGAAGAGAAAUAGUUACACUUCAGCCUAGUUAACAGAUGCUCCAAAUUUUGAGCCUGUAACCCUUCCAAUCCCUUGCUGCCUUUGAUGGUGAUGCUCCAUCCUAUUAUACCAACUCCACAUUGAAGCAGAACUCUCAAGACAGAGAUGGGGAGGGAUGGAUGGGCUGUGAGGCCCCCCAGCCAAGAAGCUGGAAGAACUUUCUCGAAUCCUGCAGAGCUGCUCAGGGGCCUGCCUUGUAUCUGCCUGGCUGUUCCAGGGAGGUUGGAAGACAAACUGAAGGCUUUCCAUUGCUGAACAUCAGACCUCAGAAGUACUGACUGGAGGGCUCCCAAGCUGGCUCAGAUCAGCCUCAUAUUGCCCCGAACAGUAUCAUCACCGCUUUGCCCUGGUGGGGAAACUACUCUUUACCCUCUGUAUGAACCUAUGAAGCACGCAGGUCACUGGGGCAAUUUCUGAGUUUGAAGUUGCUUGGAUUUGCCAUUGCUGCUAUGUUGAAGGGAAGGGAGUGCUUUUGAAGAAAAUGUUCAUCUCUAGUUCCAGUAACAGGCAUGGAAUUGACACAUAACAGGUGUUUGUUGAAUUGAGCUGAAUAAAUUAGAAUCUGGGGCAAAAUAUAGUUGUUCUUUAUAGUCCUAAGUCUAUUAAUAAAGCAGAUAUAUCCUUAUUACAUGUUUUACUGCCAUAAAUGUGUCUACCAGAACUAGGAAUAAUGACAGACGGAAGGGUUGAGGAUUCUUUCUGACGAUAACCUGCCAGGACACCCGCUUCCUCCCUCCCUGUCCAGAUGGGGUGGACUACAGUGCUCUGGCUCACACCAGGGGUGGAGGUAUUCCCAUUAUUUGUCUGUUUUGUUGUCUGUAGUGCUUAGUCAGAAUGCUGCCUGAUACAUUGCAGGGGUUCAAUGACUUUCUGUGGAAUGAAUGAACAGACAGAUGGUUACUUACCCCAGGGACAUAAGAGCCUCACAUAGCUGCAGCGUGAGCAGUGCCCUCUGCAGUCCUGGACCCAGAUGCAUAGAGGCCGAGAUGUUCAGCCUUCCACCCCAUGGCCAUCCCGGAGCCUGGGGCUGACUCUGUCUGGUUUGGCUGCU